GCGAACGUAGCUCAGUUGGUAGAGCAUCUGGUUCCCAACCAGAAGGUCGCCGGUUCAAGCCCGGUCGUUCGCUCCA
rnacentral:tRNA from 1 species